GUAACACGUGGGUAACCUGCCCCGAAGCGGGGGAUAACAUUUGGAAACAAGUGCUAAUACCGCAUAAUUAGUUGGAACCGCAUGGUUCCAACUUGAAAGAUGGCUCUGCUAUCACUUUGGGAUGGACCCGCGCCGUAUUAGUUAGUUGGUGAGAUAAAAGCCCACCAAGACGAUGAUACGUAGCCGACCUGAGAGGGUAAUCGGCCACAUUGGGACUGAGACACGGCCCAGACUCCUACGGGAGGCAGCAGUAGGGAAUCUUCCACAAUGGACGAAAGUCUGAUGGAGCAACGCCGCGUGAGUGAUGAAGGUUUUCGGAUCGUAAAACUCUGUUGUUAAAGAAGAACAAGUGUUAGAGUAACUGUUAACACUUUGACGGUAUUUAACCAGAAAGCCACGGCUAACUACGUGCCAGCAGCCGCGGUAAUACGUAGGUGGCAAGCGUUGUCCGGAUUUAUUGGGCGUAGAGCGAGCGCAGGCGNUUUNGU
rnacentral:rRNA from 2 species